GAUGAACGCUGGCGGCGUGCCUAAUACAUGCGAGUCGAACGGAAAGGCCCGGCUCUUGUGGGGCGCACGAGAGGCGAACGGGGGAGUAACACGCGAGUAACACGUACCUGAAUGAGGGAUAAAUCUAGGAAACAGGGGCUAAAAUAGGAGAGGAGAUUCUGAUGCGCGGUGGGGGUUGGAGAGAGACGGCGGUUGGGGAUCGACUAGCAGCUUAUCCGCUUGUUGGUGUGGUAGUGGCUUACCAGGGCUUUGACGGGUAGCCGGCCUGAGAGGGUGACCGGCCACAUUGGGACUGAGAUACGGCCCAGACUCCUACGGGACGCAGCAGUGGGGAGUAUUGCACAAUGGGCGGAAGCCUGAUGCAGCAACCCCGCGUGCGGGAUAACGGCCUUCGGGUUGUAAACCGCUUUCUCCUGUGACGAAGCGUGAGUGACGGUAAUGGGUAAAGAAGCACCGGCUAACUACGUG
rnacentral:rRNA from 1 species